CACAACCAGUCCUGGUGGAAAUUAUACAAGGAUGAAGAUAAGCAGGCAAGCCCAAGACAUAUUGCUACAGAAUAGUGUGAUAAAAUCAUAAAGCUUUUUGUAUUUUCAAGACCAAAAACUUGAAAAUAGAGAUGUAAAAAUAUUUGAUCACCAACUUUCUCAACUGUAUUAUUAUGAAACGUUCGUCAAUGUUAUUCCAGAAGAGUCAUAUACAUUUGAGGUUAAAGCAGUAAAUGAUCAAAACAUGACUGGAGAAAAAUACACAGAAACACAGAUUGUCCCUGCAGGAAGUAAAUCAUUAU